rnacentral:lncRNA from 1 species
UAUCUUUAACAAAUUACACAAUCCGCACACACAUAAUCCAGAUAAGAAUAAAAGCACACACCAAAGUAAAGCAAAUACACACGAAAUUUAUAGCUUUGCUAUCUUUUUCAGCUAAAAUCUAUUCAAAACUUUUUGCUUGAAGUCAGGAGACUGAGGGCUUACGUGCAUCAAGCUAGUUCAUGUUGACUUUGUUUUGUUUCUAGACUUUUAGAUGUGAUUGUGCUUAAUUAUCCAGCCGAAUAUUUUAAUUUUGGUGAGGAGAAUCACCUUCCCCAUUGAUAUAAAUAAACACAAAAAGAUGGAUGCUUCUAAAAAUAUUUUUUUACUCACAAUUGUUAGUUUCUCUAUGGGAGCGUAUGCGAUAGACU